CCUACGGGAGGCAGCAGUGAGGAAUAUUGGUCAAUGGGCGCGAGCCUGAACCAGCCAAGUCGCGUGAGGGAUGACGGCCCUAUGGGUUGUAAACCUCUUUUGUCCGGGAAUAAAGCGCCCUACGUGUAGCGCUUUGAGUGUACCCUAUGAAAAAGCAUCGGCUAAUUCCGUGCCAGCAGCCGCGGUAAUACGGAGGAUGCGAGCGUUAUCCGGAUUUAUUGGGUUUAAAGGGUGCGAAGGCGGACGAUCAAGCCAGCGGUAAAAUUUAGAGGCUCAACCUGGUCUUGCAGUUGAAACUGGUGUUCUUGAGUCAGCGAAAAGCAGGCGGAAUGCGUGGUGUAGCGGUGAAAUGCUUAGAUAUGACGAAGAACUCCGAUUGCGAAGGCAGCAUGCUGGAGCUGGACUGACGCUGAUGCACGAAAGUGUGGGUAUCGAACAGGAUUAGAUACCCGGGUAGUC
rnacentral:rRNA from 1 species